AGUGGUAUAGUCUAAUGGUAAGACAGCAUGACAAGUGUAAUACGUGGGUUCGAUUCCCAAUACUGCUU
rfam:Lactococcus phage phi7, complete genome.